rnacentral:rRNA from 1 species
UUAGGAAUCUUCCCCAAUGGGCGCAAGCCUGAGGGAGCGACACUGCGUGAAGGACGAAGGUUUUCGGAUCGUAAACUUCUGAACGAGGGACGAAAGAUGACGGUACCUCGCUAAAAGCACCGGCUAACUCCGUGCCAGCAGCCGCGGUAAUACGGAGGGUGCAAGCGUUAUCCGGAAUCACUGGGCGUAAAGGGCACGUAGGCGGCUUAAUAAGUCCGAUGUUAAAGCGUGGGGCUCAACCCCAUCACGGCGUUGGAUACUGUUAGGCUUGACGACUGGAGAGGUGAGUAGAAUUACCAGUGUAGCGGUGGAAUGCGUAGAUACUGGUAGGAAUACCCAUUGCGAAGGCAGCUCACUGGACAGACCGUGACGCUGAGGUGCGAAAGUGUGGGGAGCAAACCGGAUUAGAUACCCCCGUAGUCC